UUUAGUAUCAUCGUUUGUUAUUAAAAAAAAAAAUUAUCAUAAUGACAGAUAUUUAUGUCAAAGAUUUUUUAGUUUUGUGUGGCUUGGAUGAAUAUUCUGAAGUUUUUGAAGAUUACGGCGUUGAUAAAAAAAGUUGUUUCGAUUAAACGAUAAUCUAAUAAAUAAUUACGUCUCCAGUCCAGAGCAUAGAAUUAUAUUGAAGACUAAAUUGAAAGAAAUAAUAUCUAACAAUGACAACUGUGGAGAAAACGACGAAGAUGGUUUAUCAGUAGUAUCUUAUGAAGAAAAUGUAGCUCUCGAAGUUUUGACUGAUAUUUAUGCCCAAAAAAUUUGUUUGUUUAGCAGAAUAUCUGUAUCUGAAAUCGAAAAAAUUCUUCACUCAAAUUAUAUAACAAAUUAUUUGGUUAAUAAUUAUAAACCUGAUGUUGGAAUUGAUGAUUCACAAUCAAAUUGUAUUGUAGACGUAAUUGCUAAUAAUUUGCUGUUAAUUACUGAAGACUGGGAAAGUCCACACUAUGAGACUAUUGCAAAAAAUAUCAUAAAAAUUUUUCCAAGUGAAGAUUUAGCUACUUACUAUAUUCCACGAAUAUUAAAAAAAGAAUCUCGUGACAACGCAUAUCAUCCUCCUCGUGGAAAAAUCGUUGACAAGUUUAAAAAUUCAAAAUAUGAAUGUCGUAAGUAUUCAGGACGCUGUCAAAAAAGAUUGAGAGAUCCGUCAUCAGAUGAAAAUACUGCUAAGAUUCCUAAACUUGAUGCAAAACUUAAACGUACAAGAUAGCGUAAAGUGGUUGGAGGAAUUCGAGUACCCAAAUGAAGAUCUUAUUACACAUUGGAAUAUUGCAGCUAACUACCGUUCUGAUUGGAUAAAAAAAAGCAACUCCGGAGUAGCCGAUAUUAUCACUGCAUGGCCAGUUUUAAAAAACCCUGCAGUUGGUAUCAAAUUAAUUCUUGAAGACUUUAAUAGUUUAGGUCUAAUCACUGGAAAUCCAAUAAGUAAAUGGGGUAAAUUUAUAAAAAAUAUACGGGAUUUAACGACACCACUAAAAAACGACUACGUCAAGACUUUGUGUGAAGUCAUUGAGUUGGAGUCAUCAUCAAAGAAUUCUCGAGUUGUUGCUCAAUUAUUAUUGAUUCCUCAUCUUAUCGCUCCGAAAGUGAAAUUAUCGAAAACUAAUGAAUUUAAAUCUCCAAAAUGUUCAACUCAAAUUACAAAAAACAGUCUUGUAAUUAUUGUAAAACGCAUGAUGAUAUCAAGAAAGCUUCAGGUAAUACAUUUUUACCUCCGCACAUUGUUGCGAUUGGGCAAGCUGUUUCCUACAUCAAGGCAUUGUAUCUUUGUGUGGAUUCGAUAAAGUAUCCUGUUGAAGGUAUACAAGCUAUUGACGCUUGUUUUAAAUUUUACUUCGUUUUUUAUAUUAACUACCCUAAAGCAAGCCGUUAUAUAUGGAAUACAAUACAACAAGUUUUAUACAAUUUUACAACUAAACAAGAUUACCAAGAGUCUCAUGUAAUGAGAUUGAUGAAAAAGUUGCAGCGGUCAUUUAAUGAUGACAA